rnacentral:rRNA from 1 species
GACGGAAGGUGCAAGCGUUGCUCGGAAUCACUGGGCGUAAAGGGUGCGUAGGCGGCUUCUUAAGUCUGGUGUGAAAGCCCAGGGCUUAGCUCUGGAAGUGCACUAGAAACUGGGAAGCUUGAGUACCGGAGGGGAGAGUGGAAUUCCUGGUGUAGCGGUGAAAUUCGUAGAUAUCAGGUGGAACACCAGUGGCGAAGGCGGUACUCUGGGCCUUACCUGACGCUGAGACGCGAAAGCGUGGGGAGCGAACCGG